CUAUAAUGCAGUCGAACGCUUUGUGGUUCAACUGAUUUGAAGAGCUUGCUCAGAUAUGACGAUGGACAUUGCAAAGAGUGGCGAACGGGUGAGUAACACGUGGGAAACCUACCUCUUAGCAGGGGAUAACAUUUGGAAACAGAUGCUAAUACCGUAUAACAAUGACAACCGCAUGGUUGUUAUUUAAAAGAUGGUUCUGCUAUCACUAAGAGAUGGUCCCGCGGUGCAUUAGCUAGUUGGUAAGGUAAUGGCUUACCAAGGCGAUGAUGCAUAGCCGAGUUGAGAGACUGAUCGGCCACAAUGGGACUGAGACACGGCCCAUACUCCUACGGGAGGCAGCAGUAGGGAAUCUUCCACAAUGGGCGAAAGCCUGAUGGAGCAACGCCGCGUGUGUGAUGAAGGGUUUCGGCUCGUAAAACACUGUUGUAAGAGAAGAAUGACAUUGAGAGUAACUGUUCAAUGUGUGACGGUAUCUUACCAGAAAGGAACGGCUAAAUACGUGCCAGCAGCCGCGGUAAUACGUAUGUUCCAAGCGUUAUCCGGAUUUAUUGGGCGUAAAGCGAGCGCAGACGGUUAUUUAAGUCUGAAGUGAAAGCCCUCAGCUCAACUGAGGAAUUGCUUUGGAAACUGGAUGACUUGAGUGCAGUAGAGGAAAGUGGAACUCCAUGUGUAGCGGUGAAAUGCGUAGAUAUAUGGAAGAACACCAGUGGCGAAGGCGGCUUUCUGGACUGUAACUGACGUUGAGGCUCGAAAGUGUGGGUAGCAAACAGGAUUAGAUACCCUGGUAGUCCACACCGUAAACGAUGAGUGCUAGGUGUUUGAGGGUUUCCGCCCUUAAGUGCCGCAGCUAACGCAUUAAGCACUCCGCCUGGGGAGUACGACCGCAAGGUUGAAACUCAAAGGAAUUGACGGGGACCCGCACAAGCGGUGGAGCAUGUGGUUU
rnacentral:rRNA from 1 species